GAAAUUCUCCAUGAGGAGACUCCCUUCAACAGGGCAGGCUUCUGCCAGUCCUUCAAUUUAUGGUCCUGGAGAAUUGCCAGAAGCAGUAAAAGGAUGGAGGGACUUGCUCACUAAUCACUUAGCCAAGAGGCAGGACUUGAACUCAAGACAAACUGACUCCAAGUCUGGAUCUCGACCUCUGAUGCAUCAUUGGCUGCCAUGGCAAACAUUUGCCAAAGGAAGCGCCAGAGAACCCAGGAUUCUUGAGAGCCUUCCCAGGGUCUACAAUCUCUGGCAGGCCUGCCAAUCUGCAAAGACUUGGAAUAUGGGUCCAGCCUGUCUUCUGGAUCCAGGUCAGCCAGGCCAAGUUCAGAGAUGCUCCUUCUCACUUGACUAUAUACAGGUUGCUGUCGGUUUCAGCCAAGGCAACUUUCAAAGGCCAAGACUAGAGUCUUCUAGGGCUUCAAUAGAGUCAGUGGGUGAAGAAGGAAGAAGUUCCCUCUCUGAGAAAGUAUGAUGAACUUCUGAAGCAGUGAAAUGUAUCUGUAUUAUAAAGAAGGAAAACCCCCCAACAAAGAUGGCAAUUUUCUUGAUUUUAGUUUUUUCUGGGUCUGGAGUCAGAAAGAUCUGAGUUCAAAUGGGAUCUCAGACUCUCCACUAGCUAUGAUUCUGGGCAAGUCAUUUAAUCCCUGUUUGCCUAAUCUACUGAGGCAGUAAUGAGAAACCAAUCCAGUAUCUUUGUCAAGAAGAUCCUGAAAUAUUUUCCUGGCUUUCCCCUGGAGACCCUUCUUUCUCCCUGGCUCUCUAAAUUUCAAGAGUAAAAGGCUGAGAAGAGAGGCUGUGUGCAACAAAACGGAAAUUCCCAAGGUAAGCCCAACUAAAAGGGCUCCUAAAAAAGGACCAAGUAGGAGGAGAUGGAGGAGAUCUUUGCACAAAGGAGAAAAUUAAGGCUCAGAGAGAGGUCCACAGCCAGCUGAUAGGAAGGCUGAGCAGAAAAUGCAGGUGUCUUGGCUUCUUGAAUUAGACUGAAAGUUCUUCUCAACACACCAAGCUGCCUAAAGGCACCUUUGACAAUGCUGAGAUUACAUUGCAUGCCUUGGAUUUGACUUCAGAUGUUAUAACACAUGAGCACAUGUGCAGAUCACAGAACCCCCAGAACACUGGAGUGUGAGGUUCAACCUUUCAUUUGGAGGAAUGGUCUGAUGGAGAAAGUGCUGGACUUGGGAGUCAGGGGGACCCGGGUUUGAUGCCUUGGACACUCACUAGUUGUGUGCCUAUGGGCAAACCAUUACACCUCAGAGUUUCAUUUUCCAUAUAUGUAAAAUGGGGAUAGAGCAGGGUGGAUAGGAAUGGAUAGAAAGCGGUCCUAGGGGUCAGAACGACCUGAGUUCAAGUUUUACCUAUGAGGCAUGUGCGGCUGUAUCAUUCUGGGAAAGUCCCUUAACCCCUCAGUGACUUGCAAUUUUCUAAGGCUGAAUAUACAUCUCCUGACAGGUGUUACCUUUUCAUCGGUAGAG
rnacentral:lncRNA from 1 species